CGGGUCGACUGGGCCGUCGCGGCGGCGGGAUAACUCUCGGCCGUCGAGGAACGUCCGGACACCACAGGGCAGGAUGGUGGGUAACGCCCACUCGGGGAGACCCGCAGGCCAGUGCCACAGAGAGCAGACCGCCCGCAGCGCCGCUGUGCGUCACGUGCGGGUAAGGGUGAAAGGGUGGUGUAAGAGACCACCAGCGCGAUGGGUGACCAUCGCGGCUCGGCAAACCCCAUCCGGUGCAAGGCCGAAUAAGGAUGCGUGAUCAGGGCUGCCCGCCCGAGCAUCCGGGUUGGCUGCUUGAGGCCCGCGGUGACGCGGUGCCCAGAUGGAUGGCGGCCCCCGCCGUGGACGCCGUAAGGCAUCGGCGGGACAGAAUCCGGCGUACAGGUCGGCCCGUCCC
rnacentral:RNase_P_RNA from 1 species